CUGGGAUUGGUCAAGACUUAGCUAUUGUUGCAGGUGCAUACUCCUACCUAAGUUAAGUUUUCAAUCUUGUCUACCUAUUAAGCUAGGCUGCAGGUCAUCCACAAGGACUCAAAUACUGAAGUACGGAAUCCUUCUCAGGCCAUAUUUAGUUCGCUUUAACAGGACUGAGGUUUAAAAGAUGAGCAGAAUAAUAGGAAAUAAUAAAAGAAACAGAUGAUUAGCCAGAGGUUUGGGGAAACCACUGAAAGAAUGUGUUGUUGUGGAAGCCAAAGGAAAAAGUUACUUUAAGAAGGAGGCAGAUGUUCAUGUAAAGUAAGGUCUUCUGUGCAAAGUUGUGUCCACCCCCAAAGUCUGAAGUGGCUCCAUUCACAAACUUACAUGGAAUUUGGACUUGGCCAUCUUUCCUUUCAAGAAUAUAUGGUCCAUCACAUACCCAACUUUGAUUGUAAAUGGAGAAGCACAGCAGCCAUGGCUUGAGGAAGAUAAAAUGACCAUGAGCUCAGACUCCUCAGGAAUGAGUGUCUGGUUGACUACAGCAGAUAAAAUCAUGCUUCCCGUUCAAGAGGUUCACUCUGGGUAUAGACGGCAUUUCUGAAAACAUGGCAUUGACUGACAUUAUUGACAGUGGACUGGGAAUGGAAAGAUCAGAGUUCUUUGCAUGGCUGAGCAUCUUACUUUUCCUUGAUCUUGGGAAGGAAGGCGCCUUCUCUGAUGGAGAUUAUCUGUCAGUGAAACUAGGUGGGUAGACCUGGAAACUUCCAGCUCCCACCUCCUAUUUAACUACAAAUCUAUAUACGUGUUCAUUUUUCCACUUUAUUUUAUUUUCUAGUCAUGAAGGCAAUUUUAUGUUUCAAAAUAAGAAUCCAUUUCCAGAGAAAGAAUUUGUUAAUUCAACUGUGCAGUUUAAAAGAUGAGGAAAAUAGUGAGUAAAGAAAAUACACAUGCAUGUGUGUACCUGCAGGCUUCCAGUACAAUACUUUCUCAGAACAAAUGUGUCAGAACUUGAAAGAAAAUGUUAUUAAAUUGCCAUGUCAUUGUCAUGCUCAACAUUCUUUCUCAAAAGGAGAGAAAGUAACCAUUGUUACUUAUUUAAUCUGUAGUAUAUUCUCAAAAUUCUAACCCUAAUGUGUAAUAGGUGUAUAUAUCAUAAUUGACCUUUGUGUGUGAUUUUUUUGCUGUUCGUUCUCCUGCUCCACUUUAAGCUGAGUACAGGUAGGCAAGGAAUCUCUCGAACACCAUUGUAUCUCUAGUGCUCUGCAGUUUCAAGUGCAUGUGCUCAAUAACUAUAUGUUGAAUCAAAUACAAUUGAAUUAAAUAGAGAAAUAGAGUCUGUGGAAUCAGGUUUUAUACCUAGACUAUGCAACUAGUGUUUGAAGUUAAGUGUGCCAG
rnacentral:lncRNA from 10 species